GUGUUUGCUUUGGCAGCACAUGUACUAAAAUUUGGAACAAUACAGAGAAGAUUAGCAUGGCCCCUGAGCAAGUAUGACAUGCAAAUUUCUGAAACGUUCCAUGUUUUU
rnacentral:snRNA from 2 species